GCCAGUGUGGUUUAGUAGUUAAGAGCGGUAGACUCGUAAUCUGGUGAUCCGGGUUCGAUUCCCCACUCUUCCACCUGCA
rnacentral:tRNA from 1 species